UUAUAAAAAUGACCACAUAAUUGAUAUUCAAGUCAACACCGAAGUGCUGACUACUGGGCUGGUGAUACCCUCGGGGACGAAACGUCCACCAGCAGAGACAUCGACCCAGUGGUGUAAAUAGUUAUCAAAUACAGGAUUAUAAUUUAGUACGCCAGACGCGCGUUUCGUCUACAUAAGACUCAUCAGUGACGCUCAUAUCAAAAUAGUUAUAAACCAAACAAAUACAAAGUUGAAGAGCAUUGAGAAUCCAAAAUUCCAAAAAGUUGUGCCAAAUACGGCUAAGGGAAUCUAUGCCUGUUAUAAGAAAAUUCUUAGUUUUUCAAAAAAAUCAAAGUUUUGUAAACAGGAA
rnacentral:lncRNA from 1 species